UUCUGGCUCAGGAUGAACGCUAGCGGCAGGCUUAACACAUGCAAGUCGAGGGGCAUCGGGAGUAGCAAUACUGCCGGCGACCGGCGCAAGGGUGCGUAACGCGUGAGCAACAUGCCCGUAUCAGGGGGAUAAUCCAUGGAAACGUGGUCUAAUACCCCAUAGUAAUUAUGUAAGGCAUCUUAUAUAAUUUAAAGCUUUGGUGGAUACGGAUUGGCUCGCGUGACAUUAGCUAGAUGGUAAGGUAACGGCUUACCAUGGCUACGAUGUCUAGGGGUUCUGAGAGGAAGGUCCCCCACACUGGAACUGAGACACGGUCCAGACUCCUACAGGAGGCAGCAGUGAGGAAUAUUGGACAAUGGAUGGAAAUCUGAUCCAGCCAUGCCGCGUGCAGGAAGACGGCCCUAUGGGUUGUAAACUGCUUUUGUAUGGGAGCAAUAAGGGCUACGCGUAGUCCGAUGAGAGUACCAUACGAAUAAGCACCGGCUAACUCCGUGCCAGCCGCGGC
rnacentral:rRNA from 1 species